UGCANGUCGAGGGGUNACAUAGCUGCUUGCAGCAGAUGACGACCGGCGCACGGGUGCGUAACGCGUAUGAAACCUGCCUUUUACAAGGGGAUAGCCCGAAGAAAUUUGGAUUAAUACCCUAUAGUUCUUAUAAUCUGCAUGGAUAGUAAGAUAAAGUUUCGGCGGUAAAAGAUGGUCAUGCGUGACAUUAGAUAGUUGGUGGGGUAAUGGCUCACCAAGUCGACGAUGUCUAGGGGUUCUGAGAGGAAGGUCCCCCACACUGGUACUGAGACACGGACCAGACUCCUACGGGAGGCAGCAGUGAGGAAUAUUGGUCAAUGGGCGAAAGCCUGAACCAGCCAUGUCGCGUGAAGGAAGACGGUUCUAUGGAUUGUAAACUUCUUUUAUGCAGGAAUAAUGUGGGUUACGUGUAACCUUUUGAAUGUACUGUAUGAAUAAGCAUCGGCUAACUCCGUGCCAGCAGCCGCGGUAAUACGGAGGAUGCGAGCGUUAUCCGGAUUUAUUGGGUUUAAAGGGUGCGUAGGCGGACUGAUAAGUCAGGGGUGAAAUCUUGCGGCUCAACCGUAAAACUGCCUUUGAUACUGUUAGUCUUGAAUUUAAUUGAGGUAUGCGGAAUGUGUUGUGUAGCGGUGAAAUGCAUAGAUAUAACACAGAACACCGAUUGCGAANGCAGCAUACUAAGUUAUAAUUGACGCUGAUGCACGAAAGCGUGGGUAGCGAACANGAUUAGAUACCCUGGUAGUCCACGCCGUAAACGACNANUNCUCGUUGUUGGCUAUAUACUGUCAGUGACUGANCGAAAGCNUUAAGUANUCCACCUGGGGAGUACGUUGGCAACAAUGAAACUCA
rnacentral:rRNA from 1 species